AAAAGUGUUGACAGUAGUAAAUUGUGAACAUUGGCAAUGGCUACACAAAGAGUCCACCUUCUUCAGAUUAUUUUCUUUUUAAUGGUUUCAGGAGAAGAGACGGAUGGUCACAUUUCCCAGUCUCCUUUUGUUAAACAAGCGAAAGAGGGAGAAUCAAUUUCAAUUAACUGUGAAUUUUCAUUCGCAAAAGAGACCCUUGUGGGCACCUAUAUAAAAAAAAACCUCUCAAGUCCCAUUGAUCUGAUUUACGUCCACAAAGAUGGGAAUACAACACUCGAUAAAUAUUCCAAUCGUCUUGGGUUUAAAGGAGAUGCAGAAAACUUCACCAUAACCCUCAAUAAUGUCCAGAAAAAUGACACAGAUAUUUACUAUUGUGUCUUUGGAAUACGAGAGGGUGCAAUAACAAAUAAAUAUGGACAAGGAACAAUGUUGUUCGUGUCAGAUAAAGAAAACCUGCAAUCGCAGAAAGCCAAGACGAGGGAGAGCUCCGAACUCAGUGUAUGAAGAUAUGAACCUGGUCCGAACUCAAAGUAUGGGACGCUAGUUUUCAGAUAAAUUAUGUUAAUUUCACUGUAAUUCAUAUUAGUUUGGAGCAUAGGCAGUUUUGUGUUUUUUCUAUUAGACAAAGUGUAUCUAUGCAUUCAUAAAAUUCUUAGUUUUUCACAACUCUUUUUGCAAUGUAAUUGUUUGUUAAAGUAAAAACAAGUUUUAUCUUUAUUGAACAGUGGAGCAUGCUUAGUAGAAGUUGUUACUUGUAUAUGUAUUACAGGUAUAUUAUGAUGCAACAAUACAUCAUUGUAUGGGGCGGCUGGGGGCAGAAAUAUGAUUACUAAAAUAUCUCAUCUCAUUCAAAAAUUCCUUUUCUCUCUCCUCUUCUCUGCUCUCACUGUCUUUAAGUGUCUCUGUGCUGUUCUACAGGCAAGAGAAAACCCACAUAUUCCUGCUGUCAGGCAUCUACCAAUACCACAGUUGUAGUUAGAGAGUUACAAAAGGAUAUUCAUACACAUAGGGAACAUCUGAUCUUUAAUCAAUGCCUCUUGUUAAUAGACAAGGAUCUUUAAUCAAUUUCUGGUAGAACAAUGGAUGUAAAUCUAUAUCCAAUUAUGUUACAUCACCUUUCGAGUGAUAUGUAUGAGCCUUAUACCUUAAAUGGUAGACAUCUUGCUCUGUUCCCAGAUAUUAGCUUUUUUGUUAGUAUGCAGAGAAGCAUAACUUAGUUUAUAGUAUAAAUAUCAAAUAUCUAAAGGGUUUUUACUGACACUUUCAUGAGUCAGAAAGUGUCAGAGCUAACAACUUUAAACAAAAACUUCCAAGUUUGCUUCCUUUAGUGCCCAUAUAUCCUGAUUAUUGCAGUGGCAUUUAUUAGGAUAUGGUUUCCUGGGCUCAAGUAAUCCUGUUAUAAUUCAACACACUGAAUCUUCAAGUGUGAAACUAGAUAGUGCCAGCCUACUGUUUGAUUUUUGGAGGCUGAGAAGGUUUCUUAUAUGAUGUAAAAUGGUUACAGGGCACACACUGGGGAAAUCUCUGGAAGACGCAAUGCAGCUAAGAAUAAAGAUGUCCUGAUGUGGCAGCUAAAGCUCUAAUAUUCCGGCAGAAGCUCACUGCAUUGCAUUGGGAUAGAAGCAAGAUUUACAGAAAUGCUUUUCUUCCUUCCUUUCCCAAGGUCAACUGUAGACUUGGCAUUGAUGUCCAUGCUGUGAACAGCUAAUCAGCAUACAUUCAAAACUGACAUCUUUUGGCGUUUGUGUAUCACAUCCACAUAGUGGAAUUGUGUAUUUUUAUAUGGUUCUUCAUGCCCAUGACUAUUGUUGCAGACACCAUAAGGCAAGACAAAAUUACCCACAGUUUGUCUGCCAGUAUUUAGUUGCAUGUUUGUGCCUAUUUUGUUGAUGGUGGUUACCCUAAGUGAUAUGCAUCCUAAAUCUCAGCACGCCCUCCAAACUAAAGUUCAUGAUUCUGGUCACCAGAUAUUGGCCCAAAUUCUAUUAGCAAGCUCACUAAAACCUUUUCAGAUGAAAUGUUUCGGGCGUCUUCCAUGUUUUCUGAAAUGAACUCAUGAACAUUUUUCAUCUUGGUUACUGGAUUAAUUCUUGUUCACGUAAAUCAAUUGUGGAAUUUAAAUUUGAGUGUGUCAGACCUUUUUGUGACUCUGGUAAUGGAAACCAUAAUUAAAUAAACUGCAGCUUACGCAAAA